GACGAACGCUGGCGGCGUGCUUAACACAUGCAAGUCGAACGGUAAGGCCUUUCGGGGUACACGAGUGGCGAACGGGUGAGUAACACGUGGGUGAUCUGCCCUGCACUUCGGGAUAAGCCCGGGAAACUGGGUCUAAUACCGGAUAGGACUGCGCGGUGCAUGCAGUGUGGUGGAAAGAUUUAUCGGUGCAGGAUGGGCCCGCGGCCUAUCAGCUUGUUGGUGGGGUAAUGGCCUACCAAGGCGACGACGGGUAGCCGGCCUGAGAGGGCGACCGGCCACACUGGGACUGAGACACGGCCCAGACUCCUACGGGAGGCAGCAGUGGGGAAUAUUGCACAAUGGGCGCAAGCCUGAUGCAGCGACGCCGCGUGAGGGAUGACGGCCUUCGGGUUGUAAACCUCUUUCAGCAGGGACGAAGCGUGAGUGACGGUACCUGCAGAAGAAGCACCGGCCAACUACGU
rnacentral:rRNA from 1 species